CUGCCAGCGCUUCCUCCUCCGUCUUCGUCUUGCGCUGCUGGUUCCUGCCGCCCGAGCGGCGGGGAGGUGAAACAGGAGCCUAUCGGAGGGAGAGAUCGAAGGGGGUGGAGAGUAUAGGGGACGGGGCUCUAGCGUGGAAGACUGAGGCGGAGCGGGGCCGAGAAGAUAAGGCGCCACGGCCCAGCCCCUCCCCCGCCGCUGCCGACCCGCCCAGGCAGCGCCUGUGUUCCCCAGCCCGGCGCUCCGCCCGCCCCAGCGGCCAUGCCCGCGCCUCGCCGCCCCUGAGGGAGCCCUUCCCCGCCAGCGCUUGCCCUUCCACGCCCGACCCGGGGUCGCAGCGGCCCGCUGUCCCGCCAGCGCCGCUUCUCGCAGCUGAGCUGCCGCCUGCGUCUCGCUCUCCCCACCCAGUGCAGUGGCCGCCGCCUCUUCCGCCGCCGGGCUCGGGGCCUCCGCACCGACAACAUGGAGGCUGUGAAAAUCUUCAACAGCGAGGAUUGUGCCUCUACUUCCUGCUUGUACAGACUGCUUUUCCAGCAGCAUGGACACAAGAAGCAUAUUAUAUUCCCUGAAUGACUACAAACCACCGAUUUCUAAAGCAAAAAUGACCCAAAUUACUAAGGCAGCCAUCAAAGCUAUUAAGUUCUAUAAACAUGUGGUACAGAGUGUUGAGAAAUUCAUUCAGAAGUGUAAACCAGAAUACAAGGUACCUGGACUUUAUGUUAUUGACUCCAUUGUACGACAAUCUCGACAUCAGUUUGGUCAAGAAAAGGAUGUCUUUGCACCCAGAUUUAGUAAUAACAUCAUUAGCACUUUCCAGAAUUUAUAUCGUUGCCCUGGGGAUGACAAGAGUAAAAUAGUAAGAGUAUUAAACUUAUGGCAGAAGAAUAACGUAUUUAAGAGUGAAAUUAUUCAGCCUCUUUUGGAUAUGGCAGCGGGGAUCCCACCGCCAGUCGUCACCCCGGUCCUGGCCGGCACCACAGCUGCGAUGAGCAACACCCCAGGAACUCCUGUGACACCUGUUACUCCAGCCAACGUGGUCCAAGGUUUGCCUGAUCCGUGGGUAUCCCAGAUAGCAAAUACAGACACGCUCACAGCUGUGGCUCAGAUCUUGCAAAGUCCUCAAGGCCAGCAGUUUCAGCAGUUAAUACAGACUUUACAGAUACAACAGCAGAAGCCUCAGCCGUCCAUUCUGCAGGCCCUGGAUGCUGGUCUUGUUGUUCAGCUGCAGGCUCUGACCGCACAGCUCACGGCUGCCGCUGCGGCAGCCAACACCCUCAAUCCCUUGGAGCCGGGAGUGUCUUUUAACAAGAAGUUGAUGGAUAGGUUUGAUUUUGGGGAAGAUUCUGAACAUAGUGAAGAACCCAAAAAAGAAAUUCCAACUUCUCAACUUUCUCAUGUUUCAGAAUCUGUGAACAAUUCCAUUUUUCAUCAGAUAGCAGAGCAACUACAGCAGCAAAACCUUGAACAUCUCAGGCAGCAGCUCUUGGAACAGCAACAGCCUCAAAAGGCCACCCCUCAGGACAGUCAAGAGGGAACCUUUGGGUCGGAGCACUCCGUGUCCCCGUCGCAGGGGAGCAGUCAGCAGCACUUCCUCGAACCGGAAGCAAAUUUGGAUGAUUCCAUAGACAUUCAACAGCAGGACAUGGAUAUAGAUGAAGGGCAAGAGGGAGUGGAAGAGGAGGUCUUUGAACAAGAAGCAAAGAAAGUGGCUGUUCGCUCGAGAUCAAGAACGCAUUCACGCUCUCGUUCAAGAUCACCCAGAAAACGGAGGUCCAGGUCGCGAUCCGGUUCUCGAAAGCGGAAGCACAGAAAGCGGUCGCGCUCGCGCUCGAGAGAGAGAAAGAGGAAGUCCUCGCGCUCGUACUCCAGCGAGAGGAGGGCCCGGGAGCGCGAGAAGGAGCGCCAGAAGAAGGGGCUGCCGCCCAUCAGGUCGAAAACGCUGAGUGUCUGCAGUACUACUCUCUGGGUUGGUCAGGUGGACAAGAAGGCAACACAACAGGAUUUAACCAACCUUUUUGAAGAGUUUGGACAAAUUGAAUCCAUUAAUAUGAUUCCUCCCCGGGGCUGCGCUUAUGUCUGCAUGGUUCAUCGACAAGAUUCCUUUCGGGCGCUUCAGAAGCUUAGUUCUGGGUCGUAUAAAAUUGGGUCCAAGGUCAUUAAGAUUGCUUGGGCUUUAAACAAGGGUGUGAAAACAGAAUACAAGCAAUUCUGGGAUGUGGAUCUUGGAGUGACAUAUAUACCGUGGGAAAAAGUCAAAGUGGAUGACUUGGAAGGUUUUGCAGAAGGAGGCAUGAUUGACCAGGAAACCGUAAAUACUGAGUGGGAAACUGUGAAAAGCUCGGAACCUGUUAAGGAGACCGUCCCGACAACUCAAAGCCCACCUCCAGUUGAGAAGGAGACAGUGGUCACGACCCAGGCAGAGGUUUUUCCUCCACCUGUUGCUAUGUUACAGAUUCCAGUAGCACCAGCUGUGCCUACAGUUAGUUUAGUCCCACCAGCAUUUCCUGUGUCCAUGCCGGUUCCUCCUCCUGGCUUCAGUCCAAUCCCUCCACCUCCUUUUCUACGAGCAAGUUUCAACCCUUCACAACCACCUCCUGGUUUCAUGCCGCCUCCAGUCCCGCCACCGGUUGUACCACCACCUACUAUCCCACCAGUAGUACCAACACCUUUAGUGCAGCCACCAUUAUCCAUGACUCCAGAAACUGUGAAGGAGGUUGGAUUUGGUAGCCUAGUUUUACCAGGUGGUCCUGUUGCCGGCAAUCUUGCUGCUUCCACUCUGCCAGCCGGAAAUGUUUUUAACCCUGCUAAACAAGCAGAGCCUGAAGAAAAAGUACCUCAUCUUAUAGACCACCAGAUUUCUUCUGGUGAAAACACCAGACCAGUGAUUCCAAAUGAUAUUCCAAGUAGCCCUGCGCUUUUAGGGCAGCCGCCAAACAUGACAAGCAAUGCUGGCAUUCUUGGAGUUCAAAGACCAAAUGUAUCGAGUAAUCCUGAAAUUCUUGGAGUCCGGCCAUCUAACGUUUCCAGUAGUUCUGGGAUUAUUGGAGUCCAGCCACCAAAUAUUCUGAAUAACUCCGGAAUUUUGGGAAUACAGCCGCCAAGUGCUUCGAGCAGUUCCGGACUCUUGGGAGUGCUGCCCCCCAGUCUCCCCAACAACUCUGGACUUGUCGGCGUACAGCCACCGAAUAUCCCCAGCGCGUCUGGACUUUUAGCAACACAGCCACCAGCUGGGCCUCAAAACUUACCCCCUUUGAACCUCUCUAGUCAAAGGAUGCCUGUAAUGCCCAUGUUAGACCUUCGUCCAGGACUGAUGCCACAGGCACCUGGACCAAGAUUUCCAUUGCUACAGCCUGGGAUUCCACCCCAGCGAGGAAUCCCUCCCCCAUCGAUACUUGAUUCAGCUCUUCAUCCACCACCCCGUGGUCCUUUUCCUCCAGGAGAUAUUUUUAGUCAGCCAGAAAGACCUUUUCUAGUUCCUGGAAGGCAAAGUAUAGACAAUAUUAAUAAUCCAGAAAAAAGGAUACCACUUGGGAAUGAUAACAUUCAACAGGAAGGAGAUCGAGAUUACCGGUUUCCUCCUAUAGAAACCAGGGAAAGCAUGAGUAGACCUCCCCCGGUGGAUGUUAGGGAGGUGGUUGGACGGCCUGUAGAUCCCAGAGAAGGUCCUGGAAGACCCCCACUAGAUGGUAGGGAUCAUUUUGGAAGACCUCCUGUAGAUCUUAGAGAAAAUCUCGUGAGGCCGGGUCUGGAUCAUCUUGGUCGAAGAGACCACUUUGGCUUCAAUCCGGAGAAACCGUGGGGGCCGAGAGAUUUUGAUGAGAGAGAGCAUCGAGUCCUGCCUGUCUUCACUGGGCCAAAAGGCUUACAUGAAGAACGAGCCAGAUUCCGGUCGGGAAACUAUCGUUUUGACCCCAGAAGUGGUCCUUGGAACAGAGGAUUUGGGCAGGAAGUGCACAGAGAUUUUGAUGACCGCAGAAGACACUGGGAGAGGCAGCGGGACAGGGAUGACAGAGAUUUUGACUUCUGCAGAGAAAUUAACGGAAGUCGUCUUGGAAGAGAACGAAUUCAAAACACCUGGGUCCCCCCUCCUCAAGCUCGGGUCUUUGAUUUCUUUGAAGGGGCCGCUUCUCAACGAAAAGGGGAUAAUGUGCCUCAGGUUAAUGGUGAAAAUGCUGAGAGACAUGCUCAACCACCACCUUUGCCGGUGCAGAAUGAUCCUGAACUUUAUGAGAAACUGACAUCUUCGAGUGAAAUGAACAAGGAGAAGAGUGACACAGUUGCUGAUAUAGAAAGUGAACCAGUGGUAGAAAGCACAGAAACUGAGGGGACAUAAUCAUCACUCAGUAGGACAGAACGGUGCCAAAGAUGAUGGAGCUUCUAAGUCCAGCAGAACCGGAAGCCUUGCCUCCCCAGCUAUCCGGAUCCAACGUGAGGAGCUGGAACAUGGUCAGGCUCACAGCAGGUCCCCGGCCACCACCUGUCAGCCGCCCCUCCCUUCACCCAGCUCUCAGGGCAGUGACGGGGAGGUCCCAAAAUGCCUCCAGUGCUUUCUCAGGCGGGCUCGUUUCUCAGGACCUCACUGCAGUGGAAGGAAGAUGGACCUCUCCAUCCACCCGCUGCUUGCUUCUCCCGGAGGACUCUGAACAAGGCAGCGAAGUGAAUCACGCCAGCCCCUGAGCGGCCCGCUGAGAAACCCGUUCGCAUUUGGCUGAGCGGUCUUCAGGAGGGAGAGAUGGGGCCUCCCGUGCCAAGGCCAUUCCCUGGAGCGAUGGCUGGACUUGAGUCACGUGGCCGUCUCCUGGUCGCUAGGUCCCAGGGCGCGGGGAGAGAGCCUGCCUGAGCCGGCGAACGUCACGGGCACGCAGCGAUACAAAGGCACUUAGUGGACGUAGCCGUCGCUGGACUCCUGUUCAUGCCCGCACAGAGCUGCCCUUGCGCCCGUGGGGACAGGCGUUCCGUAGGCCAUUCUGGAGGGACACUGCUAUUGUGUGUGUUCCUGGAGUCGUGGGGGAUGGGGCCCCGGCCGACUUAAUGGGCAGAGUUUACAGGGCAGGAGGAGUCUCUUCUCCCCGGUGCUGGGAAGGAGAGACGAGAGCCACAACUUGAAAAAAAGAAUUUUCCAAAAGCAAGAAGGGAAUUUUAAGGGACCUCUUUUUCAGGUGGAUCUCAGGGUGGCGGGAAGGAUGACUUGAUUGUCAAAGCCAUCAGCUCAAUGCCGUGCUACCAGAAGUCCCAGCGAAACACUGCACGGCCCUGCAAAGGUUCUGGAAACAAAAUUCAACUCUGGAAACAUUGCCGGGCACCUCCUAUGUGCCAGGAAAUGUGCUGAGUUUCUGGGGGCAGAAAGGUGAAGGCAUGAUCCUUUCCCUCGAGGAGUUUAGAUUUGGGUCAUUCUCAUAGGAAGAUUCUGCAAGAAAAUAUAACAAAGUGGUUUAUUUUAUCUCUCAUUAUUUUUAACUUUUUAGAAGAGAGGAGGGCACUGUAGCUGAACAGUUUUGAUGCCUAUGCCCCGAGCAGAAAUUCCGGUUCAUCUUUGGGAGAUUUGCUUUCAUUGGGCACCUGGUUAGUCAAACAGAGAAGCCAGUCCUCUCUACGGUGAGGGUGACCUGGUGUAACCUCCUGAUCAUCCCCACGUCCCUGGCUCUCGGUCUCUGUUCCUGUUGCUGACCCACCCCACCUUUCGAGGGUCCUGUCCCUUCUUAUUCUACAGUCGUGACCAUGGGCGUUUCGGCCAUGCUCAGGGCUUGCACAUUCUUCCUACACGCCAGUCAUGUCUCAGUCUGUCUCUCCGGGUCCAACCUCUGUCCAACCUCUGUUCCGAGCACCAGCUUCCCAUAUUCUCCCCACACUCUUCCCAGAUGUACCCCCCAGUCCAUCCUCUGGCCCCCUGGCCAGACUGGUGCUUAAAGCUGCCCAGGGGCUUGGUUCUCUUUGUUCUAAGGAUAAAGCCCUCACCGUGCCUGCAGGAGCAGGCAUGCCUGGCUCUUGCUUGCUUCUUUGGCCUCAUCUCCUGUCACUUCGUUUACUCGUUUUCUUUUGGAAGGGCCCCAAAAGUUCUUUCCCACCUGAGAGCCUCAGAUUCACCAUUUUAUCUGGAAUGGUCCAACUCAACUCACCCUCCA